UCCGUAGGCGGGCAAUUAAGUCAGAGGUGAAAUCCCACAGCUCAACUGUGGAACUGCCUUUGAUACUGGUUGUCUUGAGUUAUAGUGAAGUAGAUAGAAUAUGUAGUGUAGCGGUGAAAUGCAUAGAUAUUACAUAGAAUACCGAUUGCGAAGGCAGUCUACUAACUGUAUACUGACGCUAAUGAACGAAAGCGUGGGGAGCGAACAGGAUUAGAUACCCUGGUAGUCC
rnacentral:rRNA from 1 species